rnacentral:rRNA from 1 species
GACGAACGCUGGCGGCGUGCUUAACACAUGCAAGUCGAACGGUGAAGCUCUAGCUUGCUGGUGUUGAUCAGUGGCGAACGCGUGAGUAACACGUGUGCAACCUGCCCCUGACUCUGGUAUAAGCUCUGGAAACGGCGCCUAAUACUCUAUACGAGAAGGCUCCCCAUGGGCACCUUCUGGACUUCUUUUCGGUUGGGGAUGGGCUCGCGGCCUAUCAGCUUGUUGGUGAGGUACUGGCUCACCAAGGCGACGACGGGUAGCCGGCCUGAGAGGGCGACCGGGCACAAGGGGACUGAGAGAGGGAGCAGACGCCGAGGGGAGGCAGGAGGGGGGAGUAUUGCACAGUGGGCGAGAGCCUGAUGCGGCGACGCCGCGUGAGGGAUGACGGCCUUCGGGUUGUGAACCGCUUUCGGCAGGGAAGAAGCGAGAGUGACGGUACCUGCAGAAGAAGCACCGGCUAACUACGUG